rnacentral:rRNA from 1 species
UACGGAGGGUGCGAGCGUUGUCCGGAAUCACUGGGCGUAAAGGGCGCGUAGGCGGCGCGGAUAGUCGGCGGUGAAAGCCCGGAGCUCAACUCCGGGUCGGCCGUCGAUACUUCCGGGCUUGAGCACUGUAGAGGCAGAUGGAAUUCCGGGGUGUAGCGGUGGAAUGCGUAGAGAUCCGGAAGAACACCGGUGGCGAAGGCGGUCUGCUGGGCAGUUGCUGACGCUGAUGCGCGACAGCGUGGGGAGCAAACGAGG